AAUUGUCACUUUCAUUGUAUUUUAGGAGGUUAAGUUCGCGGGAGUUAUUUAGAGUUAGUGAAUUUUAGAAUUAUUUAACUAAGAAUUUGGUAUCGUCAUGUUUACGGUAUUUGACUUUGUUCUACUUACGUUUAUCGCCUGGUAUAUAACUAAAUAUAUUUGUCGAAAGAUAGUCAAUUAUUUGAAUAGUGAGGAGCCUUAGGCCUAGUCACAGUGAGUUGGAAGCAACACUAAAACUGUAGCAAUCACGACGAAUUGAGAACGUGAGAUCAGAAAGGAUUGUCGAGGAAAUAAUAUAAGAUACGAAUGCGAUUUGCGUGAGGCUUGGGUGGCAGUUCAAUGGUCCAGUUAAGCUGCAACUGAUCCUAAUUACUAAUUGUUGUCUUUUUAGCAUAUCUGUACAUAAGAUAUCAUAGGAUAAGAAGAAGUUUAAGUUUAUCUUAGAAUGGUAGAGCAGGCUUAGAUUAUCCUUUGGAUAAUUUUACUUAGAAUUAAUUUGUUUAGAGUAAGUUUGAUGGGGUGUGAUUUUUUAAAAUUAAAAAUAACUUUGUGAAAAACAA